rnacentral:tRNA from 1 species
AGAGAAGUGUCCGAGUGGUCUAUGGUACCAGUUUUGAAAACUGGCAUGAUUUAAACGUCAUCGUGGGUUCGAAUCCCACCUUCUCUG